UACAUUAUGACUGACACAAUGGGGUUUGAUGGUCAAAUGCCUUUUUUAUAAUAUUAAACACUAAUUUAAUAAAUCCACAAAAAGUAAAAGCAUAUCUGUACAUUAUGCGUAUUUAUACAGCCAGUACAUAAACAACUUUAAAUAUUAGAAAAAGAAAACAUGUUAAGACAUUGUGCCAUUUAAAAAGUGGGCGUUCCUGUACAAUAAAUAGAAUAACUUCUAUUGAUAUUGACCCCAAAGAAAAACUCGUGACGUUUGGUGAAGGAGGAGACCUUAGCUCACACUUUUGCUUUCAGUUCAGGGAGCUCGGUCAGCUGAAGCUGUAGGGAGUUAUUUAUCUCUCUCUCUUUCUCUCUCGGUUCGGCAGUUUCUGUGUUUUUGGAUUUCGGGAGAUGAAGUAGUGCUGGUGUCAGGAUGGAGCUAAUGGUUAUUAAAGUGUGUGGAAUUCCUGAUGUUCAAAAUGGUAACCAAAUGCUUGACCAGCUAAAAAUACACUUCCAGAGGCGCAGUAACAAUGGAGCAGAUGUUCUAACAGUCCUUCCGGCUCCCGCUUCAGACCAGGCCUAUGUUGUGUUUGAAACAAAAGAAGUUCCUGGAGUCCUUCAAUGCAAUCAUGUGUUGGAAGUGGACAGAAGAUUUUACCCUAUUUAUGUCCAUGAAGCUCAACAGUCUGAGGUAGACAUGACAGUCGAGACCAACCUAAUUCUCACAAAGUUCUCAAAUCCACAAGAUGUCCAGUCGCAGCUGGAGUCCAAUGGCUUUAAGAUAACUAAAAACGGAUCAGACCUCCAUUUAAAGGGGUCCUUUCUCAGUCUGAUGCUUUUACGAAAACAACUUGCUCGACUCCAGGCCCAAGACGCCUUCCACAAAAGGACCUCUUCUUCAGGUCUUUUCAAUGGGUACUCUUCUGCUUCCAUCAGCCAAAUGGAGGCUUCAUCAAACCAUGAUCAUGUGAUUAGCAAUGGAGUGCAUACUGGUCGCAGGAGACCCAUGGUUGAUGGUCCAUCCCCAUUGUUAGCUGUUUCCCCUGCCAGUCCUAAUCUACCACAGUCGGCUGAAUAUGGAGAUCCAGGCUCAGAUGGGUCCCCCAGAAGUCCUCACUCCUACGAUUAUGAUUCUUAUAGUAAGUCACCUUCCACCAAACCAAAACAAGCAAGUUUGUUGGUGGACAAAGAUGUGCUAGACUAUGCCUUUAAAUAUGAGGAGGAUGUUUUCAAGAAGAUUGAAAAACUCGGUGAGAUGAGUGUAGUAGAUGAUAAAGAAGUAAGCACUGUUACGUUUUCGGGAAAAAACUGUGAGAAAGCCAAACAAAAGCUCGAGACUUGCAUUAAGAAAAUCACACCUCAUUUGCGCACCCAGGAAAUAGACUUGAACAACUAUGAUCCUGGCCAACAAGAGAAGAUAUAUCGGAGAAUCCAGCUUUAUGAAGACAAAAUGCCAGGUGUGAUAAUCAAGCAGUAUAAUGAGACUGUGAAGCUGAUUGGAUCCUCCACAAAAAGCUUUGAAAUGAAGCAAAAGCUUCUAGAACACAUUAAUCUUCCAUCUACCCAAAGGGAAAGAGGCAGAUCACUAGAGAGAAAAUCAACACAAAGAAGUUCCUCGUUGCCAAGACAGUACAAGCACAAGGAGUGGGGAACUGACCAAGGACGCAGUGCUGAACCAAAAUACAGUGCUACUCCUACAAACUAUCAAGAGGAACUUCAAUCCAGACAAGCUCAGGGACGAUCAAAUGAACCGCAGUCCAGAAGACGCAGCAACUCGGAGUCAAGAGACAAAAAUAAAGCAGGCAGGUGGAAGCCUAAUCAACAUGAGGAUGUGCCAUCACCAAAUAGAGAUGAGAAAAGAAUCACAAAGAAGUCUGUGCCUACCAUAAAACAGUCAAUGAUGGAUAUUACAAAAAAAUUGAACCCUAAACGCUGGAAAAAGUAGCAACAAUUCAUAAACAUUUUUUUUUGGUAAUAAAGCUGCUGUAAGAAAUUUUUAUCUGCUUGUU
ensembl:lncRNA